rnacentral:rRNA from 1 species
UACGUAGGUGGCGAGCGUUGUCCGGAUUUACUGGGCGUAAAGCGCGCGCAGGCGGGCUGGUCAGUCUGGGGUGAAAUCUCACGGCUCAACCGUGAGAGGUCCCUGGAUACUGCUAGCCUUGAGGGGCUCAGAGGAGAGUGGAAUUCCGGGUGUAGUGGUGAAAUGCGUAGAUAUCCGGAGGAACACCAGUGGCGAAGGCGACUUUCUGGCCUGUUCUUGACGCUGAGGCGCGAAAGCUAGGGGAGCAAACAGG